GCCGCGGUAGCUCAAUUGGUAGAGCAUCGCACGAGAAAUGCGAGGGUUGUGGGAUCGUUCCCCAUCUGCGGCA